UGCAUUGCCAUGGGCGAAGCCUGAGCAGCAACGCCGCGUGGGGGAUGAAGGCCUUCGGGUUGUAAACCUCUUUCGCAGGGAAGAAGCGAAAGUGACGGUACCUGCAGAAGAAGCACCGGCUAACUACGUGCCAGCAGCCGCGGUAAUACGUAGGGUGCGAGCGUUGUCCGGAUUUAUUGGGCGUAAAGAGCUCGUAGGCGGUUAGUCACGUCGGAUGUGAAAUCCCGGAGCUUAACUCCGGGCCUGCAUUCGAUACGGGCUGACUCAAGUGUUGUAGGGGAGACUGGAACUCCUGGUGUAGCGGUGAAAUGCGCAGAUAUCAGGAAGAACACCGGUGGCGAAGGCGGGUCUCUGGGCAACUACUGACGCUGAGGAGCGAAA
rnacentral:rRNA from 1 species